rnacentral:lncRNA from 1 species
GAGUUGGGAUUUUUCAAUUCACCUUGGAGAUACCUUUAGGCAAAAUGCAGACAUGAGUUUGGAUAUUAUUUACAAACUGUCACCCUCACCUGAAAUGAAACACUAUUGAGCUCAAAGUGAUCUGAAUGGUUCUCCUCUUCUCUACUUUGUAUUCAUGAUAACUCUGGAGGUAGUUCAGGUUGAGAGAAAGCAGAGCUUAGAACUAACUUGUUGAUUAACUUGUGGCAUUGUUAAUUUACUAUAUUUUUCUGUACUUUCACCUAAUUUUUUAGAUUCCUAAAUUAACCCAUGUUUCCUGACGUCAGAAAUAUAUAUUUAAUGAUAUUAAAUUAUUAGUUAUUAGGAUGGGUAUGUCUAUCUUUAUCAUAUUCAAAAGAAUAGGAAGACCUGCUGUUGUGAAUGGGUCUUCUGAGGCUGUGAGUGGUAAUGGAGAGAUCAGGAGAGGAAGGAAGAACCCUCGCGAGGAGGGCUCGCUGGAAGAUUUGCACAGGAAGUGAAUCAGGAAGAUUGAUGGGGAGUCUUCUGAGGAGGAUUCAUGUGGGGACUUGGGAGGGGAUCUUGAGGUAGAAAUAGAUGCUGAGGAACCGGUGGUGACAGAGGAAGUUGGCAUAGAUUGGGCACGGGCUCCAGAGGAUCUUGGGGAGGAAUCUGGGUCCAUGGAUGCUGUGGAUACUGGAGAGGCUUGGGUAUCUUCAGAAGCAGAUCCCACAUGAUCAUCCUGCCCACUCCCAACUCUGUCCACACCUGUGGAACUACCCUCAUUCCUCCAGGCAGACCAUGUGGGAUCUGCUUCUGAAGAUACCCAAGCCUCUCCAGUAUCCACAGCAUCCAUGGACCCAGAUUCCUCCCCAAGAUCCUCCGGAGCCUGUACCCAAUCUAUGCCAACUUCCUCCCUCACCACCGGUUCUUCAGCAUCCAUUUCCACCUCAUCCCCUCCCAAGUCCCCACAUGAAUCCUCCUUGGAAGAGUCCUCGUCAAUCUCAAUGAUUCUCUUCCUGUGUAAAUCUUCCAGCGAGCCCUCCUCGUGAGGGUUCUUUCUUCCUCUCCUGAUCCCACCAUUAUCACUCACAGCCUCAGAAGACUCAUUCACAACUCAUUCACAAUGUAUGAAAAAAGGGGGGAGCCAAAUGAGGAAGAAUGGCAGAUGUAUAUAGAUAUCCUCAAUUCUUUGAUCAAGGUAUCAGAUAUGACUCAUUUCCAAAUAUUUAGGCAAUAUUUUCCUGGUUUCUUCCUUGCAGUAGAUAGUGUGUAUAUAUUGCUAGAGAGUCAUGUAGUGGUAACCAUACGUGGAUAAUCUUUGGUUUCAUGAAUGGCUGUCCUGAAAGCAGCUGUAGGUGAUUCAGCUUUCCAUAAUUUCAAGUACAUUUGUGUUCUCCCAUCAAAACCCUUCUGUUGCAAAUUCCCACAUUUUGUGCCUUGUUUUAGAUGGCACAUACCAUAAGCCCUUAUAUUCACAGAUUCUGCAUCUACAGAUUCAACCAUGUAUAACUUGAAAGUGUUAAUCCAAAAAGCAAAGCU